GCAGUCGUACGCUUCUUUUUCACCGGAGCUUGCUCCACCGGAAAAAGAGGAGUGGCGGACGGGUGAGUAACACGUGGGUAACCUACCCAUCAGAGGGGGAUAACACUUGGAAACAGGUGCUAAUACCGCAUAACAGUUUAUGCCGCAUGGCAUAAGAGUGAAAGGCGCUUUCGGGUGUCGCUGAUGGAUGGACCCGCGGUGCAUUAGCUAGUUGGUGAGGUAACGGCUCACCAAGGCCACGAUGCAUAGCCGACCUGAGAGGGUGAUCGGCCACACUGGGACUGAGACACGGCCCAGACUCCUACGGGAGGCAGCAGUAGGGAAUCUUCGGCAAUGGACGAAAGUCUGACCGAGCAACGCCGCGUGAGUGAAGAAGGUUUUCGGAUCGUAAAACUCUGUUGUUAGAGAAGAACAAGGACGUUAGUAACUGAACGUCCCCUGACGGUAUCUAACCAGAAAGCCACGGCUAACUACGUGCCAGCAGCCGCGGUAAUACGUAGGUGGCAAGCGUUGUCCGGAUUUAUUGGGCGUAAAGCGAGCGCAGGCGGUUUCUUAAGUCUGAUGUGAAAGCCCCCGGCUCUACCGGGGAGGGUCAUUGGAAACUGGGAGACUUGAGUGCAGAAGAGGAGAGUGGAAUUCCAUGUGUAGCGGUGAAAUGCGUAGAUAUAUGGAGGAACACCAGUGGCGAAGGCGGCUCUCUGGUCUGUAACUGACGCUGAGGCUCGAAAGCGUG
rnacentral:rRNA from 1 species